GACGAACGCUGGCGGCGUGCCUAAUACAUGCAAGUCGAACGGAAAGGCCCUGCUUUUGCGGGGUGCUCGAGUGGCGAACGCGUGUGUAACACGCGUGUAACCCGUCCUUGUCUUUGGGAUAACUUUACGAAACUCGGGCUAUUAUCGGAUAGGAGCUCUUGCUGCACGUGGGGGGUUGGAAAGUUUCGGCGGUUGUGGAUGGACUCGCGGCUUAUCAGCUUGUUGGUGGGGUAGUGGCUGACCAAGGCUUCGACGGGUAGCCGGCCUGGGAGGGUGACCGGCGACAAUGGGACUGAGAUACGGCCCAGACUCGUACGGGAGGCAGCAGUGGGGAAUAUUGCACAAUGGGCGGAAGCCUGAUGCAGCAACGCCGCGUGCGGAAUAACGGCCUACGGGUUAUGAACCGCUUUCGCCUGUGACGAAGCGGGAGUGACGGUAAUGGGUAAAGAAGCACCGGCUAACUACGUG
rnacentral:rRNA from 1 species